rnacentral:lncRNA from 1 species
CAGUGCCGGGGGCGGGGGAGGGGGGCGCGGCGGUGGCCCGCGCGGCGGGCUGUGGGCGGGGCUGAAGGCGGGGCGGCGGCGGGCCCCGCGGCGGGGCGGCGGCGGCGGCGGCGGGUAAACACGGCGGCGGGGCUACGGGGAGCGCGCGCCGCUGGGCCAUGGCGGCUUCUCCCGUGGAGGUGUUCGGGCUGCCGGGCGAGGAGGCUGCUUUCCGAAAGCCCUGCGAGCCUCCCCGGCAGACGGAGCAACGCGUCUGUGGGGCAACUUCCUCGUGACGGAGCUGGAGGGGCGAAGCGGGAUUCUUUUCCCUCCGCUCCCUCCCCCAGCCCUGAAGAAUAAAGUCUUUGUUUCAGGCUUUGUCACAGACAGUAUGCACACCGCUGAAGCGAUGCGUGGAUUAAAAUUGUGCAAAAGUUGCAGGUACAGGAAGACUAAAAGCUGUAUCCAUCUGAAAGCUGGUUGAUGACCUGUGUGAAAUGUCAGUAAUGUUGUCUUUGAGCCAACAGGAUAUUUACCAAGACUGUCUUUGAUCAGCUCUUUUUGUGUCCAGGCAGUGAUGAUCUCUUGUGUCAAAACACAGUUGUUGUGUCCUUAGCAGGAAUUCACUUUCUGAAUAAAUGAUGAAGUAUUAUUCCUGGUCUGUUACCACAGCUCUCUUUCUCAAGUUGUGCUUCACUUCUGGAGAAGUAACUAUAAAGGUCUCAAAUGCUUUUUUUUUUUUUUUUUCUUCUUCAUCUUAAUAUUUGAAUUGCAUAGGAGUUCUAAUAAAAAAUUAGCACAGCAUGCUGCAAGGGUUGCAUAGCACUUCCCAUUGCAAGAUUCUGUUUUCAGUUGAUAGUAACUUCUUGCGGCAAUCUG